UUAGCCCCCGGUGUAGUCACCACCGUAGUUGGGGAGCAGGAGCUCACUGAGGCUUAGUAGUCUCAACCCACGAUUUAUUGAUUAUAGGUAACAGGUUGAGCAGAAUAAAUGGAUUUCCAAGAGGAUUGAAGUAAAGACGCUGUUUAUGGAAACUUCGUUGCAUUGAUCACCUGUUAAAUUAUUAGAGAAGAUGGCUCAAGGCUUGAUCCUGGUUGUUAUGUAUUCCAUUUCGCUCUGAUGUAUAAUAUAUUAGGAAAACACUUAACAGCACGACACAUACUUGUCGUCAAAGCACACGACGCUAUAGUAAUAUGGUGAUGACCAUAUAAUUACUCCCCUAUCUUAAUAUUUUUUGGGUAAACAUUCAUGCCUUGAAUUUUUUUAGCGAGAACUUGUUGUUCGUCUACCUUUUAUUCAUGUGUAUUUACUUUAUAUAUAAAGUUCAAUUAAAAGUUUCUAAAAAAAAAUUAUGUUUGUGAAACUUUGUCUUGAUAUUAAACUACACCGCGAAAAAAAUUANNNNNNNNNNNNNNNNNNNAACUCACUUGAAGUAUUAUUGAUUUUUUAUUUUAACUUUUAAAAUAUCUAAAUGAAAACAAACAUUAUAAUUUAGUACUAUACUCUCACAAAUUAUGUGACAUAGUAUAAAAUAUAUACACCAGCGCACAAGUCGUGCAUUUCCGACGAAUUGUGGCGUCGUGCCAUAUAGCAUUCCUCAAUAUAUUAUAGGUUGUACAUUAUGACAGUUUAUUCAGGAUUUUGUCAAGAUUACGUAUUGCCCGAUAAAUUAUCUUGUAAUUGUACUAUGUCGGACAAAA
rnacentral:lncRNA from 1 species